rnacentral:rRNA from 1 species
UAAGCCAUGCGAGUCGAACGAAUUUAGAUUCGUGGCGUACGGCUCAGUAACACGUGGAUAACCUACCCUUAGGACCGGGAUAACCUUGGGAAACUGAGGAUAAUACUGGAUAGGCAAUUUUUCCUGUAAUGGUUUUUUGUUUAAAUGUUUUUUCGCCUAAGGAUGAGUCUGCGGCCGAUUAGGUAGUUGGUUAGGUAAUGGCUUACCAAGCCGUUGAUCGGUACGGGUUGUGAGAGCAAGAGCCCGGAGAUGGAACCUGAGACAAGGUUCCAGGCCCUACGGGGUGCAGCAGGCGCGAAACCUCCGCAAUGUGAGAAAUCGCGACGGGGGGAUCCCAAGUGCCAUUCUUAACGGGAUGGCUUUUCAUUAGUGUAAAGAGCUUUUGGAAUAAGAGCUGGGCAAGACCGGUGCCAGCCGCCGCGGUAACACCGGCAGCUCUAGUGGUAGCAAUUUUUAUUGGGCCUAAAGCGUCCGUAGCCGGUUUAAUAAGUCUCUGGUGAAAUCCUGCAGCUUAACUGUGGGAAUUGCUGGAGAUACUAUUAGACCUGAGACCGGGAGAGGUUAGAGGUACUCCCAGGGUAGAGGUGAAAUUCUGUAAUCCUGGGAGGACCGCCUGUUGCGAAGGUGUCUAACUGGAACGGUUCUGACGGUGAGGGACGAAAGUUAGGGGCGCGAACCGGAUUAGAUACCCGGGUAGUCCUAACUGUAAACGAUGCGGACUUGGUGUUGGGGUGGCUUUGAGCUGCUUCAGUGCCGAAGGGAAGCUGUUAAGUCCGCCGCCUGGGAAGUACGGUCGCAAGACUGAAACUUAAAGGAAUUGGCGGGGGAGCACCACAACGCGUGGAGCCUGCGGUUUAAUUGGAUUCAACGCCGGACAUCUCACCAGAGGCGACAGCUGUAUGAUAGCCAGGUUGAUGACUUUGCUUGACUAGCUGAGAGGAGGUGCAUGGCC